GGGGGGGGCGGGGGGGGGGGCGGGCACGGGCAGGUCGGACGGCAGCGCAGUAAGAGCUUGCUCUUACGGGUGGCGAGUGGCGGACGGGUGAGGAAUACAUCGGAAUCUACUUUUUCGUGGGGGAUAACGUAGGGAAACUUACGCUAAUACCGCAUACGACCUACGGGUGAAAGCAGGGGAUCUUCGGACCUUGCGCGAUUGAAUGAGCCGAUGUCGGAUUAGCUCGUUGGCGGGGUAAAGGCCCACCAAGGCGACGAUCCGUAGCUGGUCUGAGAGGAUGAUCAGCCACACUGGAAACGAGACACGGUCCAGGCUCCUACGGGAGGGAGCAGGUGGGAAUAUUUGACAAUGGGGGGAAGCCUUAUCCAGCCAUACCGCGGGGGGGAAGAAGGCCUUCGGGUUGGAAAACCCCUUUUUUGGGAAAGAAAAGCAGCAGGUUAAUACCCCGCUGGUCUGACGGUACCCAAAGAAUAAGCACCGGCUAACUUCGUG
rnacentral:rRNA from 1 species